GGUUCAAAGGCAAUCAGUCUAUAUAACUGCAACACUAAUCUUGGCCUGCACGGAAGCAUGUAAUAGCUGAUCCUUUGCAAACAACACAUCAUCAUAUGCAUGGAAGCAUCAUAUGUAUGAUAUACUAAAAAAGAGCUAAAAUAUGAAAAAAGAAGUACAGAAAAUUCAAUUCGGCAGAUGGAGAGUUUGAGACAGCGGCUACCCGGCAAAUACAAUGUCGUCAAUUCGGCAGCUAUGGAAUUCCGUAGAGGCAGGUAUGGCGCCGAGGGCCGGGUGGGGCGGAUCUACGGCAGCAGUGCCACGCAGGGGCCAGGGUCGCCUUGCGCCGGCAUUGCGCUGCCCCCACAACUCAGGGCUUGAACCCUAACCGCUAGGUCACAGCCGUGGGGAGAGGGCGCGCACUUCUUCGGCUUCUCGGAGCUCUUUCUUCAACUUGGUCGGUCCUCCUAUAUGGCUUCUCAGAGCUUCUCGGAGCUCUUUCUUCAACUUGGAGCAGUAGGGGACCAUCGCAAGCCAUGGCAGCGGCGCUCCUGAGAGUAUCAGAGGGUAUGGG
rnacentral:lncRNA from 1 species